rnacentral:rRNA from 1 species
GAUGAACGCUGGCGGCGUGCCUAAUACAUGCAAGUCGAACGCUUCACAUCGGUGAAGAGUGGCGAACGGGUGAGUAAUACAUAAGUAACCUGGCAUCUACAGGGGGAUAACUGAUGGAAACGUCAGCUAAGACCGCAUAGGUGUAGAGAUCGCAUGAACUCUAUAUGAAAAGUGCUACGGGACUGGUAGAUGAUGGACUUAUGGCGCAUUAGCUGGUUGGUAGGGUAACGGCCUACCAAGGCGACGAUGCGUAGCCGACCUGAGAGGGUGACCGGCCACACUGGGACUGAGACACGGCCCAGACUCCUACGGGAGGCAGCAGUAGGGAAUUUUCGGCAAUGGGGGAAACCCUGACCGAGCAACGCCGCGUGAAGGAAGAAGUAAUUCGUUAUGUAAACUUCUGUCAUAGAGGAAGAACGGUGGAUAUAGGGAAUGAUAUCCAAGUGACGGUACUCUAUAAGAAAGCCACGGCUAACUACGUGCCAGCAGCCGCGGUAAUACGUAGGUGGCGAGCGUUAUCCGGAAUUAUUGGGCGUAAAGAGGGAGCAGGCGGCACUAAGGGUCUGUGGUGAAAGAUCGAAGCUUAACUUCGGUAAGCCAUGGAAACCGUAGAGCUAGAGUGUGUGAGAGGAUCGUGGAAUUCCAUGUGUAGCGGUGAAAUGCGUAGAUAUAUGGAGGAACACCAGUGGCGAAGGCGACGAUCUGGCGCAUAACUGACGCUCAGUCCCGAAAGCGUGGGGAGCAAAUAGGAUUAGAUACCCUAGUAGUCCACGCCGUAAACGAUGAGUACUAAGUGUUGGGUGUCAAAGCUCAGUGCUGCAGUUAACGCAAUAAGUACUCCGCCUGAGUAGUACGUUCGCAAGAAUGAAACUCAAAGGAAUUGACGGGGGCCCGCACAAGCGGUGGAGCAUGUGGUUUAAUUCGAAGCAACGCGAAGAACCUUACCAGGUCUUGACAUCGAUCUAAAGGCUCCAGAGAUGGAGAGAUAGCUAUAGAGAAGACAGGUGGUGCAUGGUUGUCGUCAGCUCGUGUCGUGAGAUGUUGGGUUAAGUCCCGCAACGAGCGCAACCCCUGCUGCCAGUUGCCAGCAUUAAGUUGGGGACUCUGGCGAGACUGCCGGUGACAAGCCGGAGGAAGGCGGGGAUGACGUCAAAUCAUCAUGCCCCUUAUGACCUGGGCUACACACGUGCUACAAUGGACAGAGCAGAGGGAAGCGAAGCCGCGAGGUGGAGCGAAACCCAUAAAACUGUUCUCAGUUCGGACUGCAGUCUGCAACUCGACUGCACGAAGAUGGAAUCGCUAGUAAUCGCGAAUCAGCAUGUCGCGGUGAAUACGUUCUCGGGCCU